rnacentral:rRNA from 1 species
AAAUUGAAGAGUUUGAUCAUGGCUCAGAUUGAACGCUGGCGGCAGGCCUAACACAUGCAAGUCGAGCGGAAACGAGUUAUCAGAACCUUCGGGGGACGAUAACGGCGUCGAGCGGCGGACGGGUGAGUAAUGCCUAGGAAAUUGCCCUGAUGUGGGGGAUAACCAUUGGAAACGAUGGCUAAUACCGCAUGAUGCCUACGGGCCAAAGAGGGGGACCUUCGGGCCUCUCGCGUCAGGAUAUGCCUAGGUGGGAUUAGCUAGUUGGUGAGGUAAGGGCUCACCAAGGCGACGAUCCCUAGCUGGUCUGAGAGGAUGAUCAGCCACACUGGAACUGAGACACGGUCCAGACUCCUACGGGAGGCAGCAGUGGGGAAUAUUGCACAAUGGGCGCAAGCCUGAUGCAGCCAUGCCGCGUGUAUGAAGAAGGCCUUCGGGUUGUAAAGUACUUUCAGUCGUGAGGAAGGCGGCGUCGUUAAUAGCGGCGUUGUUUGACGUUAGCGACAGAAGAAGCACCGGCUAACUCCGUGCCAGCAGCCGCGGUAAUACGGAGGGUGCGAGCGUUAAUCGGAAUUACUGGGCGUAAAGCGCAUGCAGGUGGUUUGUUAAGUCAGAUGUGAAAGCCCGGGGCUCAACCUCGGAAUUGCAUUUGAAACUGGCAGACUAGAGUACUGUAGAGGGGGGUAGAAUUUCAGGUGUAGCGGUGAAAUGCGUAGAGAUCUGAAGGAAUACCGGUGGCGAAGGCGGCCCCCUGGACAGAUACUGACACUCAG